rnacentral:rRNA from 1 species
GACGAACGCUGGCGGCGUGCCUAAUACAUGCAAGUCGAGCGGACGAAUCGGAAGCUUGCUUUUGAAUCGUUAGCGGCGGACGGGUGAGUAACACGUGGGCAACCUGCCUUGUAGACGGGGAUAACACCGAGAAAUCGGUGCUAAUACCGGAUAACACGAAAUGUCGCAUGACGUUUCGUUGAAAGACGGCCCAGCCUGCCCCUACAGGUGGAUCCGCGCGGCAUUAGCUAGUUGGUGAGGUAACGGCUUACCAAGGCGACGAUGCCUAGCCGACCUGAGAGGGUGAUCGGCCACACUGGGACUGAGACACGGCCCAGACUCCUACGGGAGGCAGCAGUAGGGAAUCUUCCGCAAUGGACGAAAGUCUGACGGAGCAACGCCGCGUGAGCGAAGAAGGCCUUCGGGUCGUAAAGCUCUGUUGUUAGGGAAGAACAAGUAUCGUAGUAACUGACGUUACUAUGACGGUACCUAACGAGAAAGCCACGGCUAACUACGUG